rnacentral:rRNA from 1 species
GACGUAGGGCGCGAGCGUUGUCCGGAUUUACUGGGCGUAAAGAGCGCGCAGGCGGUCGUUCAAGUCGAGUGUGAAAGCCCCCGGCUCAACUGGGGAGGGUCAUUCGAUACUGAUCGACUUGAAGGCAGGAGAGGGAAGUGGAAUUCCCGGUGUAGUGGUGAAAUGCGUAGAUAUCGGGAGGAACACCAGUGGCGAAGGCGACUUCCUGGCCUGUUCUUGACGCUGAGGCGCGAAAGCUAGGGGAGCAAACGGGG